AACGAACGCUGGCGGCAUGCCUAAUACAUGCAAGUCGAACGAGAUCUUCGGAUCUAGUGGCGCACGGGUGCGUAACGCGUGGGAAUCUGCCCUUGGGUUCGGAAUAACGUCGGGAAACUGACGCUAAUACCGUAUGAUGACGUAAGUCCAAAGAUUUAUCGCCCAAGGAUGAGCCCGCGUAGGAUUAGCUAGUUGGUGGGGUAAAGGCCCACCAAGGCGACGAUCCUUAGCUGGUCUGAGAGGAUGAUCAGCCACACUGGGACUGAGACACGGCCCAGACUCCUACGGGAGGCAGCAGUAGGGAAUAUUGGACAAUGGGGGCAACCCUGAUCCAGCAAUGCCGCGUGAGUGAUGAAGGCCUUAGGGUUGUAAAGCUCUUUUACCCGGGAUGAUAAUGACAGUACCGGGAGAAUAAGCCCCGGCUAACUCCGUGCCAGCCGCCGCCGUAA
rnacentral:rRNA from 1 species